AGUUGGCAAUGGACAAGGAGGCCUGCUGUGCUGCAUGACUGAGCGACUGAAUCACGACUGGUGUCCUUGCAUGAUGAGGAAAACUUGGACACAGACAGACACGCAGAGGGGAAGGCCAUGUGAAGACAGAGGCACAUCAGGUGAAGAGAGAGGCGUGAAAGCAGAGGCAAAGAUUAGAGUGAUACUGCCCCAAGCCAAGGCAUACCUGGGACUUUCAGAAGCUGGAAGAGCAACCCUAGGAAAUAAACGCAGUCCCUUUCAAAGAUCCAUGACUUUGAAUAAGCUGCUCUCUUUGUGAAGACAUUGAAAUCUUCCAAACAUAUUUCAGGAAGCAGUAGGUAAACCACACCUUCAGAAAAACCUUCUAGGAGAGCCUCAGACCAGGUCUGUCCUGAUAUUCUCAGAGUAAGUUUUCUGAUCUCAGUUACAGAACUUACACUGAAAUGUUUAGUUGUAAUUUUCCUGGUUGUCUCCUGCAUUAGGUUGAAAACACUUCGAGGUCAGAUUAUGGCAUAUAGUUCUUCAACGUGUGAUUGUUGGUUAAGA